AGAGUUUGAUCCUGGCUCAGAUUGAACGCUGGCGGCAUGCCUUACACAUGCAAGUCGAACGGUAACAGGGAGCUUGCUCCGCUGACGAGUGGCGAACGGGUGAGUAAUAUAUCGGAACGUACCUUUGAGUGGGGGAUAACUAGUCGAAAGACUAGCUAAUACCGCAUACGAUCUACGGAUGAAAGUGGGGGCUCGCAAAGACCUCAUGCUCAUAGAGCGGCCGAUAUCUGAUUAGCUAGUUGGUGAGGUAAAGGCUCACCAAGGCAUCGAUCAGUAGCUGGUCUGAGAGGACGACCAGCCACACUGGGACUGAGACACGGCCCAGACUCCUACGGGAGGCAGCAGUGGGGAAUUUUGGACAAUGGGGGCAACCCUGAUCCAGCAAUGCCGCGUGAGUGAAGAAGGCCUUCGGGUUGUAAAGCUCUUUUGUCAGGGAAGAA
rnacentral:rRNA from 1 species